rnacentral:lncRNA from 1 species
GCCUGGAGCAGGUGGCCCUGGUGGAAGGUUCCAGAUUCUGCAACUUCCUGACUGAGGCAGGAGCGGCAGUGUUCUUGGCAGCCUGGUUCUGCAGUGAGGUUUCCGGAGUUGUUUCUGGAAGCUCAACCUAGAGCCUGCGUCUUUGCCACCCACCCCUACAGACUCUACCCUUUAAUAAGUCUCUUUCUGCUUCAAGUAACUAGAAUAGAUUCCGAGGCCUGAAACUAAGAUCUCCGAGCAACAGCAGGACCAUGGGAGAAACACUGUUAGAUUGGUUCUCUUGAGUCUCAGAGAUGGAAAACACAGGCCUCUAUAAGGCAUUACGCCUCAUCCAACUGCUUUCAGGGGCCCACUUUAACUGCUGGAGCGAGGAAAAUGGUCCUAUGGAGAUCUAGGGCAUGAUUCUCAGAGAUGUGUGCUGUUGGAAGGACAGCUGGCAUCUGGAAGCAUGAAGGAGCAUGCAGAGUCCAAGAACUCCCACUAAAUCUUCCUUCUCCAAGGCUGCUCACUUCACAGCAAGAGUGUCAUGACAGUUAGGAUGGCUUGGCGGCAAGUAAUGGAAAACUGUCUCCCCAAAUAAGAAGCCCAAAGAUAGGGCAUCUCUGUUAUAAGUUAAUUCAGCUGUUCAAUUAUGUCAUCAAGGCAGAGGUUCUCUCCACCGUUCUGCUCUGUCAUCAAGACAUGAUGGCUUUGACUUGGAGAUUAGCUCCCUGAGGGGUUGUUAAAUGUUUGUCCCCAGCUUUGGUUUCAUUCAGAUACACCAACAUCCAUUUGAAGAAAGGUUUGCAUUUUUUAUUGAUAUAUAAUAGUUUUACAUACUUAGGGGGUAUGUGUGAUAUUCUGAUACCUGUAUAUGAUGAACAGUGGUAAAAUCUGAGUACUUCAGAUAUCCAUCACCUCAAAUAUGUAUCUUUUCCCUGUGUUGGAAACAUUACAAAGCUUCUCCUCUAGCCAUUUUGAUGUAUACAAUAAAUUAUUAACUAUAGUUUCCCUCCCUACUAUUGAAUACUAGAACUAACUCCUUCUAACUGUAUUUUUGUACCAAAAUGUGCAUUUUUCUGUGUGAUUUUUCUUUCUUUUUUUUUUUUUUAACAAAUGCUAGAACUUUGUGUGGAUGCUCUUAGCUCCCACUUCCUCCUGCCUUCCUGGUUUUGAGCUUCUGCCUAACCCGUUCUCUAGCAAUGGGAAUGGGAGCUCAGGAGUUGAAUUCAAUCAGUCAGAAUUUACCCUGGAUUGCAAGAUGGAUUUGCUUUUCCCUGAGAGUAAACCCAAAUAAAAAAAUUUGCUGUGACAGCAAAGAAGAAUGGGAGGAUGGCUGUUAGGCAACCAACAGGGUCACUUCCCAGGGUGUAGUUUGUGUGGGUUUCGUUUUGUGUUUCAAACUUAAUAUUUUUUCCUUUUUUUUUUUUAGUGAAAAAGCAGCAUGCUCAAUAGAAACAAAGUAACCAGUACAAAAGUCUUACAGUAAAAAAAAAAAAAAAGACUCUCUACCCAUCCUUAUGCCAUAACUUACACAAAAAUUAUGAAAUAUCAUUAAGAGAAAAAUUUAAAAUUCUAAGCAAAUGAAAGGGAAAAUUUUAAGAUUCUAAACAAAGGAAGGGAAAUAACAUAUUUAUGGAUUGAAAGGACUGACAUUGAAAAGAUUCUACCCAAAUUGAUUAUAGAUUCAAUACAAUCCCAGUUAAGACCCAGCAAAGUUUUUCUAAGAAGUCAACAAUUCGUUUCUCACAUUUGUGUGAAAAUGCAAAGGGCAUAAUAUCCAAGAUAACCUUAAGAAGAAAAAAACUGGAGACUCUACAUACAGGACAUUGUGGCUUAUUAUAAAGUUCCAGUCAUUAAGACAGUGCAGAGUUGAUACUAGGAAAUAUAAAAACAUAUCCAUUCAUAUCUAAUGACUCAAUUAUGACUUAGUUUCUGUAUAGAGGGGGGAAGAAUGGUCUUUUAAAAUAAAUGGUACUGAUUCAAUUGGAUAUCUAUAUAGAAGGUGUAGGUAGUAUUUUUCUCCAUUUGCUUAGAACUUCUAAAUUUUAUUUUAACCAUAUUUUAUAUUUUUUGUAUAUACUUUUUUCCAGAUUAAUAAAAUUCUUUUCUAUUUCUAAUUUGCUAAGACAUUUUAUCACAAAUAGAUUUUGAGAUCCUUUUGUAGUUUGUAAGUGUGAUGAUUGGGUUUUUUCACGCUCAUGUGUGAGAUAUGCCUUCCUUAAAGUUUGUUACAUCAUCAGCACAUUACCCAUCUGACAAGAAAAAAAAUAGAUUUUGACUCUCAUCAAAUACUUUUUUGCAUCUACUGACAUAAUCAUGUGGUUUUUCUAUUUCACCUUGUUAAUGUGUCUGAUUACGUUGAUUCGUUCUCAAAUUUUAACACUCUCGCAUUCCUGGACUAAAAGUCACUUAGUCACGAUGUAGUAACCAUUUUAUAUAUCACAGGAUUUAAUUUACUGUUUUUACAAAAAUUCUUAUAUAUAUUUCAUGAGAGAGCUUGGCAAGUAAUUUCCUUUUGAGUAAUGUUCUUUUCAGAAUUUAAUAUCAAAGUUUUGCUGGCAUCAUAAAAUAUGUUGGGAAGUGUUUCUUCUUUUUCUUUUAUCUUGAAGAAUUUUAGGAAGAAUCCACUAGUGAAGUCAUCUGGGCUGAGGAAAUUUUUUGUGGAAAAGUGUUAAUUUAUACGUUCAAUUACUUUACUAGAUAUAGAACUAUUUAAGUUUCGUAUUUCUGUUUGUCAAUUUUGGUAAGGUCUAUUUUUAUAGGAAUUUUCUCAUUUUCCCUACAUUUCCAAAUUUAUUGGCAUAAAGUAGUUCCUCAUAUCUGUUUUUUUUUUUUUUUUUGAGAUGGGGUCUGGCUCUGUUGCCCAGGCUGGAGUGCAAUGGUGUGAUUUUAGCUCACUGUAACCUCCACCUGCUAGGCUCAAGCGAUCCUCCCACUUCAGCCUCCUGAGUAGCUAGGACCACAGAUACACACCACUACAUCCAGCUAAGUUUUUUUUUUUUUUUUUCUUAGUAGAGACAAGGUUUCACCAUGUUGCCUAGGCUGGUCUCAAACUCCUGAGCUCAAGCAAUCCUCCUGACUCAGCCUCCCGAACUGCUGGGAUUACAGGUGUAAGCCACUGCACCCAGCCUCACUCUUAUUUUUUAAUAUCUCUGUUGUCUGUAGUGAUGUACACCUUUUCAUUCUGACAUUGAUAAUUUGUGACUUGUCUCUGUUUUUAUCUGUCCUUGUAGCUGUCCAUUAAUCUUACUAAUCUUUUCAAAGGAUAAACUUUUAGCUUUUUAUUUUUCCCUAUUUCAUGCUCAUUUUCUAUUUAUUAAUUUCUUCUCAUUUUUUAAAUUGACUUUCAUCUACUUUGGGUUUAAUUUGCUGUUGUUCUAACUUCUUGAUUAUACUUAGCCAAUUGCCAUUUCAACAUUUCUUUUUUCUAAAAUAUGCAUUUAUUGCAUAAAUCACCCCCAAAUGCAAAUUUAGCUACAUCUCAUGAGUUUUAAUAUAUUGAAUUUUCAUUAUUAUUCAAGCGAAAAUAUUUUCUAGUUUUUAUUGGAAUUUCUCAUUUAACCCAUGCACUGCCAUUAUUAUUGUACAAUUUCCAAAUAGUAUUUUUUAAGUUUAAUUGUACUAUGGUCAUAAAACAUACUGUGUAUGAUUUCAAUCCUUUGAGAUUUUCUGAAAUUUGCUUUAUGGCCCAACAUAAUAUCAGUGUUAGUAAAUGGUCUGCGUGCACUUAGGAAGAAUGCAUAUUCAAUUGUUAAUUGUGUUGUUCAAAUCUACAUACAUAUUUCCUUUUUUUCCACCUACCUAUUCUAUUAGUUAUUCAGAGAACUGUGUUAUCACCUUGCAUUUUGGUAAUAGAUUUGUUUUUUGGUAAUAGAUUUGAUUUUGGUAAUAGAUUUAUUUCCUUUUUUUGGUUUCUGUCAAUUUUCACUUUAUAUAUUUUAAAGCCAUAAUAUCAAGUGCAUGUAUUUUUAAGUUAUUGUAUCUUGUUGGUGGAUUGGCCGUUUUAUAUAUAAGAAACACCCCUCUUACUCUCUAGUGAUGCUUCUUGCCUUAGAUUCUACUUUGUAUAUUGAUGUAAUUAUACUAGCUUUGGGGGGGCUAAUGUUUGCAUGGUGUAUUAAGCCAGUGUCCCUGAGAAGCAGACUUUGAGUACAGAAGGUGAGAAGUAAACCUAGGAACACUGGUAAGGUUGCCUGAGUAGACACGGAAGGGAAGGAAGCUGACAAUGGAUGCACUAGUGAGCUGUUGGCUGUUUACAGCUAGGGCUCACUUCCCCUCUUGGAAGUCUCCUCUUGGCUCCUCAGUGGCUUUGCUGG